rnacentral:rRNA from 1 species
GCUCUUUGGGUGGCGAGUGGCGGACGGGUGAGUAAUGUCUGGGAAACUGCCCGAUGGAGGGGGAUAACUACUGGAAACGGUAGCUAAUACCGCAUAACGUCUUCGGACCAAAGUGGGGGACCUUCGGGCCUCACACCAUCGGAUGUGCCCAGAUGGGAUUAGCUAGUAGGUGGGGUAACGGCUCACCUAGGCGACGAUCCCUAGCUGGUCUGAGAGGAUGACCAGCCACACUGGAACUGAGACACGGUCCAGACUCCUACGGGAGGCAGCAGUGGGGAAUAUUGCACAAUGGGCGCAAGCCUGAUGCAGCCAUGCCGCGUGUAUGAAGAAGGCCUUCGGGUUGUAAAGUACUUUCAGCGGGGAGGAAGGCGAUGCGGUUAAUAACCGCGUCGAUUGACGUUACCCGCAGAAGAAGCACCGGCUAACUCCGUGCCAGCAGCCGCGGUAAUACGGAGGGUGCAAGCGUUAAUCGGAAUUACUGGGCGUAAAGCGCACGCAGGCGGUCUGUCAAGUCGGAUGUGAAAUCCCCGGGCUUAACCUGGGAACUGCAUUCGAAACUGGCAGGCUAGAGUCUUGUAGAGGGGGGUAGAAUUCCAGGUGUAGCGGUGAAAUGCGUAGAGAUCUGGAGGAAUACCGGUGGCGAAGGCGGCCCCCUGGACAAAGACUGACGCUCAGGUGCGAAAGC